GUUUACAUUCAUCCUUCCAAGUGUGGGAACGUGUUUAACGCCGUCUGUCGCGAGCUCAGAUCCCUUCUAUUCCAAGAAAUGGUGAAGGUUGUUUUAUGAGCAGAUCGCAUAAACGGCAUUCACUAAAGGUUGGAACUAUGUUACGCCUUCAAGUCCAAAGUUUUGAUGAAGAGGUGAUGCAUAUAGCUGGAUCAUUACUUCCUGCUAACACAGGAUGCGUUAAGUGGCUGGAAAAGCAGUCUGAAGAAGGUCCUCUGGAUAU